GCGCACGCUGGCGGCAGGCCUAACACCUGCCAGUCGAACGGAUCCUUCGGGAUUAGUGGCGGACGGGUGAGUCACACGUGGGAACGUGCCCUUUGGUUCGGAACAACUCAGGGAAACUUGAGCUAAUACCGGAUGUGCCCUUCGGGGGAAAGAUUUAUCGCCAUUGGAGCGGCCCGCGUCUGAUUAGCUAGUUGGUGAGGUAACGGCCCACCAAGGCGACGAUCAGUAGCUGGUCUGAGAGGAUGAUCAGCCACACUGGGACUGAGACACGGCCCAGACUCCUACGGGAGGCAGCAGUGGGGAAUCUUGCGCAAUGGGCGAAAGCCUGACGCAGCCAUGCCGCGUGAAUGAUGAAGGUCUUAGGAUUGUAAAAUUCUUUCAGCGGGGACGAUAAUGACGGUACCCGCAGAAGAAGCUCCGGCUAACUUCGUG
rnacentral:rRNA from 1 species